CCAGCUCAGCCUAAUUAUGUAUUACCUCAUUCUGUUUUUAACUCUUUCCUGGGCAUAUUAUAUGGUCACUUUGUGGCAUGGUAAAGGAAGCAGAUCAUAUCCUGGAUGUAUGUUUUCUGUCACGGUACACACUGCACAGCUCAUGGAUCACAGGACUGAGCUGGUGUCAGCCUGGACAGCUAAGGUGACUGCCUUCUUGGUUCCUCUGAGGUCAGAGGUCCUGACACAAUAGUUCAGCUCCUUCCUGCAAGUGACACUCCUUGGAUGUCCUGGAAAAUCUGCUGGAAGGUGGCACACUUUGUUUUCAAAGUCCUAGCCUGCACACCUCUCUCAGGUGCUGCUAUGGAACUAGGCCAUCUUUUGAUCACUUCAAGGAUCAUCCAUUGACUUUACAAGCAACAGAGUGGGAUAAAGAGACCAGCUCCUCCUAAAAACUAUGAAAAAGAGGAUGUUCAGUUGCUCCUAGCUCCAGUCUAUCAUUGUUUUAUGUAAAUCAAAUAGUUAUUUCAACUUUUAUAAAUCCAUAAGAACUAUGUGCUGUUCCUUGGCGCAGAAGAGACAGCUUUCUGGCACACUGGAAAGAUAGAUUGGGAAUUCUUAACCAAGAAAUGUACUUUCUAUGGUUUUCCCACAGCAUUGAGGAGAUAAAAGGGCAAAACUAAGCAAAUAAUAGCAGACCCAUUUCUUCAAUAUGUUCUUUCAACAGAAAACCACAGCAGACCACAAAUAGUGGCCAAAGGGGCAGAAUUCUGUAGUGACCAAAUGGAGCCCUGGUGAGACCUGUGCAUGUACUGUGGCUACUGUCAGUAAGAUAAUGAGAAGAUAGGAAGGAUCUCAUCUUACCCUGACAAGCUGCAUUUCUAUUGUGUUUUGUCCAUAGGCAAACACAUUCUAUUGAAGGGAAUGACUGUUACACUACUGCAACUAAUGAGAAGAUUAUGAAGGACAACUUUUUCAGAGCGUUAUGAGUAAAGAUAAUACUUUCCAGCCUCACUCACUUUUCUGUGAAUAGGUUUCAUUUAAAAAUUUAUUUCAGUUUUGUUUCUUAAUGAACAUUUUCAUUAACUUAUUAAUA